rnacentral:tRNA from 1 species
GUGUAGCCCAGUGGAUAAGGCGUCAGACUUCGAAUCUGAAAAGCGCGGGUUCGAAUCCCGUCA